GACGAACGCUGGCGGCGUGCUUAACACAUGCAAGUCGAACGGAAAGGCCCUGCUUUUGUUGGGUGCUCGAGUGGCGAACGGGUGAGUAACACGUGAGUAACCUGCCCUUGACUUUGGGAUAACUUCAGGAAACUGGGGCUAAUACCGGAUAGGAGCUCCUGCUGCAUGGUGGGGGUUGGAAAGUUUCGGCGGUUGGGGAUGGACUCGCGGCUUAUCAGCUUGUUGGUGGGGUAGUGGCUUACCAAGGCUUUGACGGGUAGCCGGCCUGAGAGGGUGACCGGCCACAUUGGGACUGAGAUACGGACCAGACUCCUACGGGAGGCAGAAGUGGGGAAUAUUGCACAAUGGGCGGAAGCCUGAUGCAGCAACGCCGCGUGCGGGAUGACGGCCUUCGGGUUGUAAACCGCUUUCGCCUGUGACGAAGCGUGAGUGACGGUAAUGGGUAAAGAAGCACCGGCUAACUACGUG
rnacentral:rRNA from 1 species